rnacentral:tRNA from 1 species
AGGGAUGUAGCUCAGUGGUAGAGUGCUUGCCUAGUAUACACGAGGCCCUGAGUUCAAUCCUCAGCACCACCA